rnacentral:lncRNA from 1 species
AGGAGGGCAUAAGAUGCCGUAGGCAUAAGAUGCCACAGGCACAUGCUGUCUCUCAUGCGAAGAUGAGAAGAGUACAAGAUGUUGUUGGCAUAAGAUGCUGCAAGCAGAUACUACCUCUCAUGAGGGCUAACUAGCCAGACCCUCAAAAUACUGUCAAGGAGGGCACAAGAUGCCGUAGGCACAAGAUGCUGCAGGCACAUGCUGCCUCUCAUAUG